rnacentral:rRNA from 1 species
GACGAACGCUGGCGGCGUGCUUAACACAUGCAAGUCGAACGGAAAGGCCCUGCUUUUGUGGGGUGCUCGAGUGGCGAACGGGUGAGUAACACGUGAGUAACCUGCCCUUGACUUUGGGAUAACUUCAGGAAACUGGGGCUAAUACCGGAUAGGAGCUCCUGCUGCAUGGUGGGAGUUGGAAAGUUUCGGCGGUUGGGGAUGGACUCGCGGCUUAUCAGCUUGUUGGUGGGGUAGUGGCUUACCAAGGCUUUGACGGGUAGCCGGCCUGAGAGGGUGGCCGGCCACAUUGGGACUGAGAUACGGCCCAGACUCCUACGGGAGGCAGCAGUGGGGAAUAUUGCACAAUGGGCGGAAGCCUGAUGCAGCAACGCCGCGUGCGGGAUGACGGCCUUCGGGUUGUAAACCGCUUUCGCCUGUGACGAAGCGUGAGUGACGGUAAUGGGUAAAGAAGCACCGGCUAACUACGUG